rnacentral:rRNA from 1 species
UCCAUGAAGCUGGAAUUGCUAGUAAUCACAGGUCAGCAUACUGUGGUGAAUACGUUCCCGGGCCUUGUACACACCGCCCGUCACACCAUGAGAGCCGGUAACACCCGAAGUCAGUAGCCUAACCGCAAGGGGGGCGCUGCCGAAGGUGGGAUUGGUAAUUGGGGUGAAGUCGUAACAAGGUAGC